AGGUAACCUACCCUUCGGACGGGCACAACCCCGGGAAACUGGGGCUAAUUCCCGAUAGGUACCCCCUUCUGGAAUGUGGGGAUAUCCAAAGCUCCGGCGCCGAAGGAUGGGCCUGCGGCCGAUUAGGUUGUUGGCGGGGUAACAGCCCACCAAGCCGACGAUCGGUACGGGCAGUGAGAGCUGUAGCCCGGAGAUGGGGACUGAGACAAGGCCCCAGGCCCUACGGGGCGCAGCAGGCGCGAAACCUUCACAAUGCACGAAAGUGUGAUGAGGGUACUCCGAGUGCGCAUACAUUGUAUGUGCUUUUCUGCAGCGUAAAUAGUUGCAGGAAUAAGGGCUGGGCAAGACCGGUGCCAGCCGCCGCGGUAACACCGGCAGCCCUAGUGGUGGCCGCUUUUAUUGGGCCUAAAGCGUCCGUAGCCGGACAGGCAAGUCUUUGGGUAAAUCCUACGUCUUAAGCGUGGGAAUUCUAAAGAUACUACCUGUCUUGAGGCCGGGAGAGGCUGGAGGUACUCCUGGGGUAGGGGUAAAAUCCUAUAAUCCUGGGGGGACCACCGAUGGCGAAGGCAUCCAGCUGGAACGGGCCUGACGGUGGGGGACGAAACCCAGGGGAGCGAGCCGGAUUAGAUACCCGGGUAGUCCUGGGCGUAAAUGAUGUGGGCUUGGUGUGAGCGCAUCGACGAGGUGCGCUUGUGCCGUAGGGAAGCCGUUAAGCCCACCGCCUGGGGAGUACGGUCGCAAGGCUGAAACUUAA
rnacentral:rRNA from 1 species